rnacentral:rRNA from 1 species
AUUGAACGCUGGCGGCAUGCCUUACACAUGCAAGUCGAACGGUAACGCGGGGCAACCUGGCGACGAGUGGCGAACGGGUGAGUAAUGUAUCGGAACGUGCCCAGUUGUGGGGGAUAACUGCUCGAAAGAGCAGCUAAUACCGCAUACGACCUGAGGGUGAAAGCGGGGGAUCGCAAGACCUCGCGCAAUUGGAGCGGCCGAUAUCAGAUUAGGUAGUUGGUGGGGUAAAGGCUCACCAAGCCAACGAUCUGUAGCUGGUCUGAGAGGACGACCAGCCACACUGGGACUGAGACACGGCCCAGACUCCUACGGGAGGCAGCAGUGGGGAAUUUUGGACAAUGGACGCAAGUCUGAUCCAGCCAUGCCGCGUGCGGGAAGAAGGCCUUCGGGUUGUAAACUGCUUUUGUACGGAACGAAACGGCUCUCACUAAUACUGGGGGCUAAUGACGGUACCGUAAGAAUAAGCACCGGCUAACUACGUGCCAGCAGCCGCGGUAAUAC